GAUCACGACCACAGACCUUGGCUUUUUUCAAAGAAGCCUCAAGCAAAAUACCCAAUAAUACGUGCAGGCACUACACUGACUAAUCUAAACCAGUACAUGAAUGAUUUGGAUGCUGCAUAAUUGCGCCUCAGAAACCCUAAGUAUGCCUUCCUAACCUUUCUGUAUUCAAUUUAUAACAAAUUGACUAAAAUCCUCUUAUUAUCAUGGAAUUGCUCAUAAUUUCCACCACAAAAACACUGAACCUUUUUCUUUAUUGCAAAAUCAAGCCAGUCAUCAAUUGUCUUUCGUAAUUCACCGCUUCUUACCAAUCACUAGUACAAACUUCGCUUAAUAUUUAGAUUGCUCUUCUCUUCACAAGACCGGCCACCUACUACUACAACCUUCAAUAACGGCCAAACA